UUUUUUUUUCAUUUCUGAUGUUUCUCAAUUGCUCUCCGAUGCAGAGAAAUGGGUAAACUUCAUUCCAAACAUGCUGCUAUUUGUAAAGCGAGGGAGAGUCCUGAAGGCGAUAGUUUUGUAGUUAACGCGUGUUUGGCGAGGAAAGGACCGGACGACUGGAUGGUUAAGCAGAAGUAUUACUGCGCGAGCUCUCGUGUAGAUCAGCGGGACUGCCAGCAGAAAAAUACCUGCAGACUGUCUC